GGAGAGUGCAAGCGUUAUUCGGAAUCACUGGGCGUAAAGAGCGCGUAGGCGGUUUCUAAAGUCAGAUGUGAAAGCCCGGGGCUCAACCCCGGAAGUGCAUUUGAAACUUAGGGACUUGAGUAUGGGAGAGGGAAGUGGAAUUCCUGGUGUAGCGGUGAAAUGCGUAGAUAUCAGGAGGAACACCGGUGGCGAAGGCGACUUCCUGGACCAAUACUGACGCUGAGGCGCGAAGGCGUGGGGAGCAAACAGGAUUAGAUACCCUGGUAGUCCACGCAGUAAACGUUGAACACUAGGUGUAGCGGGUAUUGACCCCCUGCUGUGCCGCAGCUAACGCAUUAAGUGUUCCGCCUGGGGAGUACGGCCGCAAGGCUA
rnacentral:rRNA from 1 species